rnacentral:rRNA from 1 species
GACGAACGUCUGGCGGCGUUGCUUAACACAUGCAAGUCGAGGGGCCCGCAAGGGCACCGGCGAACGGGUGCGUAACACGUGAGCAACCUGCCUCGGAGUGGGGGAUAGCCGGCCCAACGGCCGGGUAAUACCGCAUACGCUCGGGCGACGGAGUCGUGGCCCGAGGAAAGAUUCAUCGCUCGGAGAGGGGCUCGCGGCCUAUCAGCUUAGUUGGUUGGGGUAACGGCCUACCAAGGCGACGACGGGUAGCUGGUCUGAGAGGAUGGCCAGCCACAUUGGGACUGAGAGACGGCCCAGACUCCUACGGGAGGCAGCAGUGGGGGAAUACUUAGCGCAAUGGCCGAGAGGCUGACGACAGCGACGCCGCGUGGGGGAUGAC